AGUACGGCGAGUGANCAGGAAAAAGCUCAAAGUUGGAACCUGUUUGGCCUAGCUAAACCGGAUUGUAAACUGUAGAAGUGUUUUCCAGGCAAGCCGGACCGAUAAGUCCUUUGGAACAGGGCAUCAUAGAGGGUGAGAAUCCCGUCUUCGGUCUGAGCAUUUGCCUUUUGCGAUACACUUUCAAAGAGUCAGGUUGUUUGGGAAUGCAGCCUAAAUUGGGUGGUAAAUCUCACCUAAAGCUAAAUAUUGGCGAGAAACCGAUAGCGAACAAGUACCGUGAGGGAAAGAUGAAAAGAACUUUGAAAAGAGAGUUAAACAGUAUGUGAAAUUGUUAAAAGGGAACCGUUUGGAGCCAGACUGGCUUGUCUGUAAUCAGUCUAAGCUUCGGCUUGGAUGCACUUGCAGGCUAUGCCUGCCAACGACAAUUUGGCUUGAGGGAAAAAACUAAGGGAAAUGUGGCCCAUCCGUGGGUGUUAUAGUCCCUUAGAAAAUACCUUGGGCUGGAUUGAGGUACGCAGCGAAUGCUAUUUGGCGAGUUGGCUGGGAAUAUUUUCUGAGGUGCUUUGGUACUGAGGUUGAUAUUCCUAGUUACACUUCUAUUCGCUUAGGUUGUUGGCUUAAUGACUCUAAAUG
rnacentral:rRNA from 1 species